rnacentral:lncRNA from 1 species
GUUCCAGGUGGAACGACGUCUUUCUCUGGCGGAUGAUUCGGAGUGUCGGGGAGUCCCAGUAUCGGUGCUGGAAAUUAUACGCCCAGAUGUUCGCGGAAGAAGAGACUUUGAAGCUACGACUGUCGAACAAUUGUUGAAGAAAAAAUCAGUAUCGGCAAUAAGCAGUACGUUCUUCGACUGUCGAGCAACGCCAAAAUACAAAGAACAAGAAAAGGGUGCUGGGAAGCUUCCGAAAUGGCCGGCCGAACAAAUUUUCACCAGGGUUGGGACGGAAGAUUGAUACUCGGCGCAUGUCAAGGCCGGUGACUGAAGAUUAAUAAAAAUUGCUAAGCUCAUGGACUUUAGCGUAUGAAUAAGGUCGCGGGAAGAAAUUGCAGCUUCUAAAAUUUGUCCAGACCCAGCAAACCAUGACGAAAAAUAAUUCAGGAUCAUGGACCACAGUUUUGCUUGAGGUUAAAAAUGGAGGAAAAUCCACGGACGGAUCGUUUUUCAUCUCUUUUCACCUUAUCUCUCGACUUCGACGAACGAAUAGAUUGCAGAACGACGCUGAUAUAUGGAUGGCGAGAUUUUAUCCCCGUAUGCCGUUGGCCGCAUCAGUUGACGAUGAGCCGGGGGAUGAAAACUGGGAAAGAAUAUUAUGUGGAAACGAGAAUUAUGCCGACGGUGAAUCAGCCGCGGUUGAAAGGUCGAUUCCCAGUAAAGGAAAAAGAAGAAGAACAAAAAGAAGAAGAUUACGAAGCGUCAAAGAGUGGACAAGAGGCUUGACUUCUGAUACUAAGUCCGAGAACUUUGAAGAGAAACUUCAAGGAGCCACAUAACUUGACCUCAUCCGAGGUGAUACACGGAUAGUCUGGAAAUUGUAAAAGUUUCAAGGAAUGCGUUGGUGCCCAAUUACACAGAGACAGACUGCGUACGUCAGCAUGAGCGAGGAUACAUCGUGUACUAUACCAAAAUUUCUGAAACGACCCACACACUUGGAUGAAUUUUUCCAACAAAAAUGAAUCUGCCUUGUCCAAAUAUGACUUGCAUGAAACUGGAGUGAAAAAUGUAUACCAUCAGUAAUGUCUCGUGUGCAGAAGUUCUCGAUACUGAGGCUUCAGAAUUUGGGUGGAAUUUCAGAACUGCUGAAAGGAUUGCACGGGUUAAUUUUAUUUUUGGCAAAUUUUGAUGAGUGCUGAGUUUGAUUCAUUCGAACACAAAGUCGACAUCAUUUAGCCAGAGGAAUCCGUGGCGCAUGGUCUUGAUAUGCUGCAAACAACGAAACGAAAACUAUCGCCGGAAGACGAGAAAUUUGAACCAGGUUUUAAGAGAGAUGGAAAAAGAAAAUCACAGCUCCAUAGCAACAACGUUCCAGUUUAGGUUCAUUAUCAUUUUAUUUAAUAUGCUAUAAUUCUAAGACUAGUGUUCAAGUAUCAGUGUAUAGUACUCUGACAGUAGCUUAUUGGACUGUUAAAUAAGAAUAGAUGUGAAAAGAUAAUGAAGAAUCACGUACAAAAUCUGACAACUGUGAAUAGAAAAAAAAUGCAAUUUACAUUAUACUGUGGACAAUGAAUAAAUGUUGAAUAUAAUGGUUAUUGCUGAUCUUUGUGAGCACAAUUCGACUUGCGGUCAGCAAUCAGGUGCAAAACACCUCUGCAGAUUACAAUGUAUGUGUAUGGUAUUGUAUCAUGAGUAAUGAAUGUACCUGAUAUUGAACAAUAAAAUAAAUUAAUUUUCACGUA